GACGAACGCUGGCGGCGUGCUUAACACAUGCAAGUCGAACGGUAAGGACCUGCUUUUGUGGGGUGCUCUAGUGGCGAACGGGUGAGUAACACGUGAGUAACCUGCCCUUGACUUUGGGAUAACCUCAGGAAACUGGGGCUAAUACCGGAUAGGAGCUCCUGCUGCAUGGCGGGGGUUGGAAAGUUUCGGCGGUUGGGGAUGGGCUCGCGGCUUAUCAGCUUGUUGGUGGGGUAGUGGCUUACCAAGGCUUUGACGGGUAGCCGGCCUGAGAGGGUGACCGGCCACAUUGGGACUGAGAUACGGCCCAGACUCCUACGGGAGGCAGCAGUGGGGAAUAUUGCACAAUGGGCGGAAGCCUGAUGCAGCAACGCCGCGUGCGGGAUGACGGCCUUCGGGUUGUAAACCGCUUUCACCUGGGACGAAGCGUGAGUGACGGUAAUUGGUGAAGAAGCGCCGGCUAACUACGUG
rnacentral:rRNA from 1 species